UGAGCAAGUUGGGUGAUCGCUGCUUCGUAGUUUUCAGGUUUCAAAUCUGAGAUCUGAGCGACUCGAAGGAGAGGAAAGUCCGAACACCGUAGGGCAGCGAGCCCGCUAACGGCGGGGCGUUCGAGCGGAAUUCAGAUCUCAGAUUUCAAAUUUGAAAUUUCAGAUUAUGAGUCGCUCGAACGACGACAAGUGCAACAGAAAGCAGACCAGCCGACCGGCUUGGGGUUUUGGGAUUUCAAAUCUGAAAUCUCAAAUUCUCAAGUCGAGGUGAUGGGUGAAAUGGUGCGGCCCGCAAGGGCUUAAUGUAAGAGCGCACCGGCGCGUGUGGUGACAUGCGCGGCCAGGCAAACUCCUCGCGGUGCAAGAUCAAAUAGGGAGGCGUGACAGGGCUGCCCGCCCGAAGCAGUUCGGGAAUCUUGAAUUUGGAAUUUGAGAUUUCAGUAUUGCUACGACCUCCGGGUAGAUCGCUUGAUCCGAUCGGCAACGAUCGGGCUAGAGGAAUGAUCGCCGCUUUGGUCGAUCUCAGAUUUGGAUCUCAGAUCUCGAGUAUGAUCAUUUCAGAUCUCAGAUUUGAGUUCUGAGAUCGACUGGAGAACAGAAUUCGGCUUACAGACUUGCUCUAUUU
rnacentral:RNase_P_RNA from 2 species